rnacentral:rRNA from 1 species
GACGAACGCUGGCGGCGUGCCUAAUACAUGCAAGUUGAGCGCUGAAGGUUGGUACUUGUACCGACUGGAUGAGCAGCGAACGGGUGAGUAACGCGUGGGGAAUCUGCCUUUGAGCGGGGGACAACAUUUGGAAACGAAUGCUAAUACCGCAUAAAAACUUUAAACACAAGUUUUAAGUUUGAAAGAUGCAAUUGCAUCACUCAAAGAUGAUCCCGCGUUGUAUAGCUAGUUGGUGAGGUAAAGGCUCACCAAGGCGAUGAUACAUAGCCGACCUGAGAGGGUGAUCGGCCACAUUGGGACUGAGACACGGCCCAAACUCCUACGGGAGGCAGCAGUAGGGAAUCUUCGGCAAUGGACGAAAGUCUGACCGAGCAACGCCGCGUGAGUGAAGAAGGUUUUCGGAUCGUAAAACUCUGUUGGUAGAGAAGAACGUUGGUGAGAGUGGAAAGCUCAUCAAGUGACGGUAACUACCCAGAAAGGGACGGCUAACUACGUG